rnacentral:rRNA from 1 species
UACGGGGGGGGCAAGCGUUGUUCGGAAUUACUGGGCGUAAAGGGCUCGUAGGUGGCCAACUAAGUCAGACGUGAAAUCCCUCGGCUUAACCGGGGAACUGCGUCUGAUACUGGAUGGCUUGAGUUUGGGAGAGGGACGCGGAAUUCCAGGUGUAGCGGUGAAAUGCGUAGAUAUCAGGAAGAACACCAAUGGCGAAAGCAGCUCUCUGGGACGGUACUGACGCUGAGACGCGAAAGCGUGGGGAGCGAACAGG